UACGUAGGGGGCAAGCGUUGUCCGGAUUUAUUGGGCGUAAAGAGCGUGUAGGCGGUUGGAUAAGUCUGCUGUGAAAACUCCAGGCUCAACCUGGAGACGUCGGUGGAAACCAUCUAACUAGAGUCCGGAAGAGGAGAGUGGAAUUCCUGGUGUAGCGGUGAAAUGCGCAGAUAUCAGGAAGAACACCUGUUGCGAAGGCGGCUCUCUGGGACGGUACUGACGCUGAGACGCGAAAGCGUGGGGAGCGAACAGG
rnacentral:rRNA from 1 species